ensembl:lncRNA
AUGGUUCGAAACUAUAAACGAAAGACAGAGCAUGGCAGUACACCACCUGACAUAAUGUUAAAGGCAGUCAGGCAGAUAAAGUUGCAGAACAAAUCCAUCAGAAGUACAGCAAAGGAUUUUAACAUAAAUUACCGUACUCUGACUCGGUAUUGUCAAAAGAUUACCAGAGAAGAAAUUGAAAGUCAGACAGACAUGCCAACAACAAUGGUUGGUUAUACAACGCCACGGAAGAUUUUUUCACCUGAUUUGGAAAAGCAGCUUGUUGAGUAUAUUACCAGGUCAGCUGACAUUUAUUUUGGUCUGUCGCCAAGUGAGGUCAGAAAGCUUGCCUACCAGUUUGCUGUGGCACACCAGCUGAAUUUUGCACCUUUGUGGUCAGAAAAAGAAAAGGCCAGCAAAGAGUGGUUUACAGGCUUCUUAAAGCGGCAUACAAUGCUGUCACUGAGAAAGCCAGAGGCAACUAGCCUUGCCAGGGCAAGUAGUUUCAACAGAAAGAAUGUUAAUGCUUUCUUUGACAACUUAGAGAUUGUGUUACGCAAAUAUGAAUUUGGACCAGGAGACAUUUGGAAUGUUGAUGAAACUGGGGUCACCACUGUACAUAAACCAGACAAAGUGGUGGCCAGACGUGGAUUCAAACAAAUAGGGUCACUGACCUCAGCGGAAAGAGGAACCCUUGUCACACUGGCCUGUGCUGUCUCAGCCACAGGGAAUAGUAUACCUCCAUACUUUAUUUUCCCCCGUGUCAACUUCCGUGCUCAUUUCCUGAUCAACGGGCCACCUGGCAGCAAAGGAGGGGCAAAUUCCUCUGGAUGGAUGAAAGACACACACUUUGUUGACUUCCUGAAACAUUUCAGUGAACAAACAAAGUGCUCAAAGGAGAAGCCUUGUUUACUCCUUUUGGACAACCACGAGUCUCAUCUGUCCAUUGAUGGACUCAAUUAUGCCAAAGAAAAUGGCAUAAUCAUGCUGUCAUUCCCACCCCACUGCUCACAUCGGCUCCAACCAUUAGACAGGUCUGUCUACGGGCCACUAAAGAGGCACAUCAACAGCGCAUGUGAUGCCUGGAUGAGGAACAACCCUGGGAAGACAAUGUCGAUUUAUGACAUACCUGGGAUUGUGGCAAUUGCCUAUCCUCUUGCUGCAACCCCCUUAAACAUUCAGGAUGGCUUUAGGGUGUCUGGCGUUCAACCUUACAACAGAGAUGUAUUUAUGGAAACCGAGUUUGCACCAUCCUACGCCACAGACCGCCCCAUUCAGAACCCUGCGCUGUCAGGCUCCAGCACCAACUCUGCUCUGACAGGCCCCAGCACCAACUCUGCCCUGCCAGGCCCCAGCACAAACCCUUCCAUGCCAGGCUCCAACACCAACUCUGCCCUGCCAGGCCCCAGCACAAACCCUUCCAUGCCAGGCUCCAGCACCAACUCUGCCCGGCCAGGCCCCAGCACCAACCCUUCCCUGCCAGGCCCCAGCACCAACCAUUUCAUGCCAGGCCCCAGCCCCAACUCUGCAGUGCCGAGCCCACCGAGUUAUGCUUCAGCUAUCACCAGCUCACCCUUACCCAGCAAUGCUAUUGCUGACAGUGGGCUACCAACUCCAGAGGACAUUCGGCCAUAUCCAAAAGCCGGCCCCCGAAAAGCAGCCAGCAAAGGAAGAAAACGAUGCAAAACAGCAAUACUUACUGACACGCCAGUGAAGCAGCAACUAGAAAUAGAAAAGAAUAAGCCUCAAUCUAGCAAAAAGCUGUUUCAAAAGAAAGGGAAGCAGAAAUCUGGACCUAUGAAAAACAAGGCAGCUAAAAGAAGAAAAAUCAUGCAAGAGUCAUCAUCAGAUGAUGAAGAGUGCUUCUGCCUCGUCUGUGUAGAGCCAUUUUCAAAGAGUCGUCCAAAGGAGACCUGGGUAAAAUGUGUAAAAUGCAACAAUUGGGCCCAUGAUGCUUGCACCUCAGGCCAGGCAAUUUAUGUGUGUCAGAAUUGUGAUUCUGGAGAUGAGUCCUAUUAG